UACGGGGGGUGCAAGCGUUAUUCGGAAUUAUUGGGCGUAAAGCGAGUGCAGGCGGCUUAUUAAGUCAGAUGUGAAAGCCCGGGGCUCAACCCCGGAAGUGCAUUUGAAACUGGUAAGCUUGAGUAUGGGAGAGGAAAGUGGAAUUCCUGGUGUAGAGGUGAAAUUCGUAGAUAUCAGGAGGAACACCAGUGGCGAAGGCGACUUUCUGGACCAAUACUGACGCUCAGACUCGAAGGCGUGGGUAGCGAACAGG
rnacentral:rRNA from 1 species